rnacentral:pre_miRNA from 1 species
GAUGCGCCCGGAUGAGGUCUUCAUCGGCCGUAAUCGGAUAUCCACGGGUCGGUGGGACUUUCGUCCGUUUGCAAG